GACGAACGCUGGCGGCGUGCCUAAUACAUGCAAGUAGAACGCUGAAGAGAGGAGCUUGCUCUUCUUGGAUGAGUUGCGAACGGGUGAGUAACGCGUAGGUAACCUGCCUUGUAGCGGGGGAUAACUAUUGGAAACGAUAGCUAAUACCGCAUAACAAUGGAUGACACAUGUCAUUUAUUUGAAAGGGGCAAUUGCUCCACUACAAGAUGGACCUGCGUUGUAUUAGCUAGUAGGUGAGGUAACGGCUCACCUAGGCGACGAUACAUAGCCGACCUGAGAGGGUGGUCGGCCACACUGGGACUGAGACACGGCCCAGACUCCUACGGGAGGCAGCAGUAGGGAAUCUUCGGCAAUGGGGGGAACCCUGACCGAGCAACGCCGCGUGAGGGAAGAAGGUUUUCGGAUCGUAAAGCUCUGUUGUAAGUCAAGAACGAGUGUGAGAGUGGAAAGUUCACACUGUGACGGUAGCUUACCAGAAAGGGACGGCUAACUACGUG
rnacentral:rRNA from 1 species